CCUGUAGCUCAGCAGGAUAGAGCAACGGCCUUCUAAGCCGUAGGUCCCGGGUUCGAAUCCC
rnacentral:tRNA from 1 species